UCUGAGUUUUUCAAGAUCCAUGCGAGC
rnacentral:sRNA from 1 species